GACGGAGGGUGCAAGCGUUGUUCGGAUUCAUUGGGCGUAAAGGGUGCGUAGGUGGCGCUGUAAGUCAGGUGUGAAAUUUCGGAGCUCAACUCCGAAACUGCAUUUGAUACUGCGGUGCUUGAGGACUGGAGAGGAGACUGGAAUUCACGGUGUAGCAGUGAAAUGCGUAGAUAUCGUGAGGAAGACCAGUGGCGAAGGCGGGUCUCUGGACAGUUCCUGACACUGAGGCACGAAGGCCAGGGGAGCAAACGGG
rnacentral:rRNA from 1 species